UACAGAGGUCCCAAGCGUUGUUCGGAUUCACUGGGCGUAAAGGGCGCGUAGGUGGUGAGGUAAGUCGGAUGUGAAAUCUCCGGGCUCAACCCGGAAAUGGCAUUGGAAACUACCUUGCUGGAGGAUUUGAGGGGGGAUUGGAAUACUUGGUGUAGCAGUGAAAUGCGUAGAUAUCAAGUGGAACACCAGUGGCGAAGGCGGGUCUCUGGGCCGAUAUUGACGCUGAGGAGCGAAAGCGUGGGGAGCGAACAGG
rnacentral:rRNA from 1 species